UGUCCGGAAAAAGUUUUGGUUUGUCGGAAAAAUUUUUCGGUUUGUCGGAAAAGUACUGCCCUUGGCCCCCAAAAAACAUGGGUCCCACGGCGCCACUGAGUUUCUGAGAUGUAAUUCAAGAGAUAACUUAUCAUUGCAUUUGAACUACUGUAUUACAUCAGUUGGUGUUAUACUGUGCGAUAAGCGAAUAUUAUUGGAAAGAGGGCUUCCAUAUACGUUGAAAUCACCAAAUAAACAGCUCAUGCACACAUUUCUGCACAUCGUCGUAAGUUUACAGAGCAUAUUUUAUACUGUGGGACUGAUCUUUGUCUUUGAUGUGAACAUUUAUUCUUAUAGUUUAAGGUUAUGUAAGAUUGAUCCUGUCGUAAGUGUUCUACCAGCAACCAAUCGACAAUAUUUCAUUUUAGCGUUGUCUUUGCCGUUACGUUGGCUUCGCAUUACUUUUGAGUUUUGUUUUAAAUACCUUGAUCGCGUUAAAAGAGUUAUUUUUCAGGCCAGUGACAUAGCCAAAAGACUUCGC